rnacentral:rRNA from 1 species
AGCACGUUAUGGUGGGCACUCUAAGGAGGACUGCCGGUCGGACAAACCGGAGGAAGGUGGGGGAGUGACGUCAAGUCAUCAUGGCCCUUACGGCCUGGGCUACACACGUGCUACAAUGGUCGGUACAAAGGGUUGCCAAGCCGCGAGGUGGAGCUAAUCCCAUAAAACCGAUCGUAGUCCGGAUCGCAGUCUGCAACUCGACUGCGUGAAGUCGGAAUCGCUAGUAAUCGUGAAUCAGAAUGUCACGGUGAAUACGUUCCCGGGCCUU